rnacentral:rRNA from 1 species
AUUGAACGCUGGCGGCAGGCCUAACACAUGCAAGUCGAACGGUAACAGGAAGAAGCUUGCUUCUUUGCUGACGAGUGGCGGACGGGUGAGUAAUGUCUGGGAAACUGCCUGAUGGUGGGGGAUAACUACUGGAAACGGUAGCUAAUACCGCAUAACGUCGCAAGACCAAAGAGGGGGACCUUCGGGCCUCUUGCCAUCGGAUGUGCCCAGAUGGGAUUAGCUAGUAGGUGGGGUAACGGCUCACCUAGGCGACGACCCCUAGCUGGUCUGAGAGGAUGACCAGCCACACUGGAACUGAGACACGGUCCAGACUCCUACGGGAGGCAGCAGUGGGGAAUAUUGCACAAUGGGCGCAAGCCUGAUGCAGCCAUGCCGCGUGUAUGAAGAAGGCCUUCGGGUUGUAAAGUACUUUCAGCGGGGAGGAAGGGAGUAAAGUUAAUACCUUUACUCAUUGACGUUACCCGCAGAAGAAGCACCGGCUAACUCCGUG